AAUAGAUACCCGGGUAGUCCACGCCGUAAACGAUGAGUGCUAAGUGUUGGGGGUUUCCGCCCCUCAGUGCUGCAGCUAACGCAUUAAGCACUCCGCCUGGGGAGUACGGUCGCAAGACUGAAACUCAAAGGAAUUGACGGGGGCCCGCACAAGCGGUGGAGCAUGUGGUUUAAUUCGAAGCAACGCGAAGAACCUUACCAGGUCUUGACAUCCCGGUGACCACUAUGGAGACAUAGUUUCCCCUUCGGGGGCAACGGUGACAGGUGGUGCAUGGUCGUCGUCAGCUCGUGUCGUGAGAUGUUGGGUUAAGUCCCGCAACGAGCGCAACCCUUAUUCUUAGUUGCCAUCAUUCAGUUGGGCACUCUAAGGAGACUGCCGGUGAUAAACCGGAGGAAGGUGGGGAUGACGUCAAAUCAUCAUGCCCCUUAUGACCUGGGCUACACACGUGCUACAAUGGACGGUACAAACGGUUGCCAACCCGCGAGGGGGAGCUAAUCCGAUAAAACCGUUCUCAGUUCGGAUUGUAGGCUGCAACUCGCCUACAUGAACG
rnacentral:rRNA from 1 species